UGAUUUUUUCCUUUUCUUGAACCCCAGAACUUUUUGAUUUUCAUUUCUAUCUCCGCCCGACAGAAAUUCUUCCUCCAACAUUGCACUACUGGGGAGUACCGUCGACCCAACGUCACGAUGCUAAGCUCCUUAGAGUAACAUCUUCACACUUCCAUUUCCGCUCGACAGAAAUUUUCCUCCAAUAUCGCACUACUGAGGAAGAAAAAGAUGUUUACAAUUGGAACAAGACCAAACAUUUACUAACGACUCUACUGAAGAAUUG
rnacentral:lncRNA from 1 species